AUUGAACGCUGGCGGCAGGCCUAACACAUGCAAGUCGAGCGGAUGAGUGGAGCUUGCUCCAUGAUUCAGCGGCGGACGGGUGAGUAAUGCCUAGGAAUCUGCCUGGUAGUGGGGGACAACGUUUCGAAAGGAACGCUAAUACCGCAUACGUCCUACGGGAGAAAGUGGGGGAUCUUCGGACCUCACGCUAUCAGAUGAGCCUAGGUCGGAUUAGCUAGUUGGUGAGGUAAAGGCUCACCAAGGCGACGAUCCGUAACUGGUCUGAGAGGGUGAUCAGUCACACUGGAACUGAGACACGGUCCAGACUCCUACGGGAGGCAGCAGUGGGGAAUAUUGGACAAUGGGCGAAAGCCUGAUCCAGCCAUGCCGCGUGAGUGAAGAAGGUCUUCGGAUUGUAAAGCACUUUAAGUUGGGAGGAAGGGCAGUAAGUUAAUACCUUGCUGUUUUGACGUUACCAACAGAAUAAGCACCGGCUAACUUCGUGCCAGCCGCCGCAGUAAUAC
rnacentral:rRNA from 1 species